CCCUCUCCCCCUCUCUCCCUCUCCCUCUCUCUCUCUCUCUCUCUCCCUCUCCCUCUCCCUCUCUCCCCCUCUCUCUCCUUCUGUCUAACAGAGGAAGAGUCCAGGGAUAUGUUCAAUGUAUUUUUUUCCCACAUGGUGACCAACCCAACAGGUUAAAACUCUGUACUGAUGAAUAAGACACUGUAUAAUAAUUCUAACAAUAAAAGUAUGUUGUAAGUCCUUCUGAUUGACACAAGAGGAACAUGUUCAGAGGGUUAAAACACAUCAGUCUCCAGAACACUGUCAACAACUGGGAGGGACACUGGUCUGUUACGUAGAGCAUCUGAAGACUGGACAGAAACAUGCUUUUCAGAAGGUCUAUGGAGGGAAAACAGUUGAUGACUGAACAUGUGACUUCUAUCCAGGUCUCCAUUGGUUCAACUGUUUCAGUUUAAACUGAGUUUACAGUUUAAACUGAGUUUACAGUGAUCUGCCCGAUACGGUAUGGUGGCCUGGGAGGGACACUGGUCUAUGGGGUAUUUAGGGCCCGGGAUUCCAUCCAUAGAGAGCUCUCGGCUAUGCAGCUUUUACAGUGAUCUGCCCGAUACGGCGGUACGGUGGCCUGGGAGGGACACUGGUCUUUUACAGGCUCAUGUUACUCUUAGGGACGACUGUACUCUACACCUCUUGUCUGUCUGCCACACUCCCUUACCUACAUUCCUAUAUAAUGGGUACUAUUUUGGUAUCUCUCUGUUUAUUAUUUGUGACACAGAGGUCAUAUGGAGAUGUGUUUUGGAGGGUUUGUUUCUUUUAUUAUGUUUUGCUCAUUUUGUUUUUGUGUAAAUACUGAUACUGUGGUGAUGAUAUGAAACAUUUGAUUGGACAGGAGAGAAAGAGGUGUGGUGAUUCUAAUGGAUUUGAUUGGACGGGAGAGAAAGCGGUGUGGUGAUUCUAAUGGAUUUGAUUGGGACGGGAGAGAAAGAGGUGUGGUGAUUCUGAAGGAUGGCUGCAGUGCCUUGUCAGAGAGCAGUUGUUGUUUUUUGACACGGUAUUUGGUUCCAGUCUGCACCGUUUUAGUAAAAGUUGUACAAAACUAAA